rnacentral:sRNA from 1 species
UUUACUGCACCUCCCUCUCUGGAUCAACAUCUCAAAACAUUGAGGUGGAUGAUUGGUGUUUAAAUGAAAAGUUAUUAUUUAUUAAAAUCAAAAUCCACACAAAAUGGUGAAACGUGUCAAAAUUAGGAUUUUCCAAAAAUGAUCUUGGAUUUACAAUGUUUCCAUCGCCCUCAUUUGAAUAUAACCGGAGGAUGUGGGUAGCUUACGGUUUAUUUCCAUUUUUCCAAGUUCAUAAAAAGAUUAGUCGUGACAAUUUGAAAUUCAUUUGGCACGCACAACCACUUGAUUGGAAGACACAGGAGAAGAUAAUGAAAUAAAUGUGGUACACAACUACAGGAAAAUGGAAUAGGUUUUGGAAUGAUCAAGUCAGUAAUGUAAAAUGGUGAAUUGUUCCUACAGCUAUCUGAGCACUGCUGACAUUGAAGAUGUUGUGAACAUCAUUAUAAAGAAGACGGAUCAAAAUCCCAAUCAUUUAAAUACGACGGUAUCCGCAGUUAAUCUUUUCGUGGGGUGUUCCCAGUAACCUCUGUUAUACGAAUGCUAUUUUUACGAAGUAUUUUAAUAAUUGUCUCCAUUUUCUGUCUACAGUCUUUUUUUAUCCUUGGAGAAUGAAAUCUUUUUAUAAGAAUCAAUCAUGUAGUCACUGAAAGUUACCAUUUUGUGUUUUUUUGUGCCUUCCCUUUCAUAUGUGCAAUUUUUACUAUUAACAAAUAUUUUUAAUAAAAGUAGUUAUAUAUAUAAAACCAUGGUGUUAAAAUAUCAGAAAGUGUAAGAGGUACAAGUUCAUAUCUUUAGGGGAUCGAGAUACUUUAGUUUAGCGCCAGUUAACUCACUACUAUGUUGUAUAAAUCAUGGGAUUAGAUUUCAUGGUUUUAAAAACUGUAAAGGUAAUACUGUAUUUUUUCUUAAAAGUGGGAAAAUGUUACUUUUAAUUUUUAAUGACUCCAAAACUUAAUACAUGUACUAUGAUUUUUUGUGACAAAUUUUUAGAGUAAAUAGCUUUUUAAUGAC